UACGUAGGGGGGCAAGCGUUGUCCGGAUUUAUUGGGCGUAAAGAGCGUGUAGGCGGCCAUACAGGUCAGCUGUGAAAACUCGAGGCUCAACCUCGAGACGUCGGUUGAAACCGUAUGGCUAGAGUCCGGAAGAGGAGAGUGGAAUUCCCGGUGUAGCGGUGAAAUGCGCAGAUAUCGGGAAGAACACCUAUGGCGAAGGCAGCUCUCUGGGGACGGUACUGACGCUGAGACGCGAAAGCGUGGGGAGCGAACAGG
rnacentral:rRNA from 1 species